GAUGAACGCUGGCGGCGUGCCUAAUACAUGCAAGUCGAGCGAACGGACGAGAAGCUUGCUUCUCUGAUGUUAGCGGCGGACGGGUGAGUAACACGUGGAUAACCUACCUAUAAGACUGGGAUAACUUCGGGAAACCGGAGCUAAUACCGGAUAAUAUUUUGAACCGCAUGGUUCAAAAGUGAAAGACGGUCUUGCUGUCACUUAUAGAUGGAUCCGCGCUGCAUUAGCUAGUUGGUAAGGUAACGGCUUACCAAGGCAACGAUGCAUCGCCGACCUGAGAGGGUGAUCGGCCACACUGGAACUGAGACACGGUCCAGACUCCUACGGGAGGCAGCAGUAGGGAAUCUUCCGCAAUGGGCGAAAGCCUGACGGAGCAACGCCGCGUGAGUGAUGAAGGUCUUCGGAUCGUAAAACUCUGUUAUUAGGGAAGAACAUAUGUGUAAGUAACUGUGCACAUCUUGACGGUACCUAAUCAGAAAGCCACGGCUAACUACGUG
rnacentral:rRNA from 1 species